CUCCUCUGUGUCAGGCACAAAGGUGAAUCCAUAGUCUCUUUCCCCUUGGAGCCUGCAGUCUGGGGAAGCAAUUAUUCUAGCAAGUUUUACAGUUCGUAGCUGUAUCAAAUAGCCUGUUUUACUGGUUGUUUAGGAUAUUUUGGUUAGGAUAUUUCUUUUUCUCCAUGUGAAUUUUUUUUUUUUUACUAAGAAGUCAUUUCUAAUUUAAACCUUUGAGCACUUUGCAUUUAUCAUGUGGUAAGCAUGAUAAGUGGAUGCUAGGGAGAUAAAGAUUCUCUUCAAGGGGCUUCCAAUCUAUUAGUAAAAUUGGAAAGCAUCUAAAAUAGACAACUAACUCUACAGGGUAGUGUAUGAUUUUUAAUAGAAUGAGAUUAGGCCAGAAGCAGAGCCCAGGAUUCCUGGAGUCUCCCGCCAGCUGCCAGCCUCUGUCCUAGAUAGAUACCAUGUACAGAGCCCCACAGAUAAGGAAUUCUUUAUUACCUAUAGAGCUAGUUUCUCUGGAGACUCCAACACUGCUGCUUGUCUGAAUCAUGCCCAGCUUCAAGGGCUCCCUGUAUCCCUGUAAAUUUAGACUUAGACUAGAGGUAGAUCAAGGUUAUACCAAAUGCUGAUCUUGACCUGAUAAAUUUUACUUAUAGCCUACACCACACACAAAAGAAGGCAACCCUUUUAAAUCUUUUUAAAAGCAAACCAUUCACCUUAUUUUCAUUCCUCCAGCUGAGCAUCUUCCUCCUGUGCCCUGUCAGCUCUGUGCCCCAAUUAUAUCUCUGUUCUUCAACAUAUUCCUGGACCAUCUGGCAGGGUCCAAGGAUAUUUUUUUAAAAGUUGUCUAAACAGGAGGAGAGAAGCCUUGGGAUUUCCCUAGAGGUCAGAGUGUGUGACCAGCCAUGCUAAGUGCCUCAGGAGACUCUUGCAAUUUCAGGGGAUUCAUGGAUCCCAGGGGAGGGAUACACCAUGAAGUCAGUGGGUCACAGAGCCUUUCAUGGAGGAAGGGAAUGACAUGUGCCCCAAAGGACAUGGAGGAUUUAACUGAACAAAGGUGGGGGGAGCGCUUUCCAGGAAGAGACUCCUGCUGAAGUACAGAUAACCCUGGCAGCAUAUCCCAGGACACUGACAGCACGAACUAGUUUAUCAGAUCAUCCCACCUUGAGAGCUAGAGAGGAGCAGCUUGUUGGAGAAUGAGGUGUCUUAAUCUCAAACUACCUUCUAUUAUUGGGAUAUAAGAAGUUUAUUGUUUCCUUUGAAUAAAGCCAAUUGGAAAACACAGAUGGUCACUGCAAUUACCCAAUGAAUCUAGGAUGAGCCGCAUGUGACAAACGGUGCUGCCAAGUCUCUUAUGGAGGCAUAGGUGUUGUUUAUCUUGAGAACAUGUAUGUAACGGGCUGUAUCUGCUUGGCUAUAUAAAAAGCUACACCUAAAAGGAGAGAACAGAACAUGGAGAAAACAUACCUGCCUUUGACUGCUCUGGAUGAGAUGAAACACAUCAGUUCUGCUCCCAUUCUCAUUGGCAAGUAUUCAAUCUUACGUCUCUGUGUGCCCCAAAAGGGGAGAAUUGGUGGUCCUUCCAUAGUUACUUUUCUCAACCAGAACUGGAUUGUUUUGCCUAUCUUAGGGACCCCUUGCUCCAUUGCUCUUUGAAAUUUAUUGUAGCUCAAGCACACAUAUGAUAGAGAUGUGGAAAGAUCAGGUGUAAAUUUUCCACACUUGACAUAGAAACUUUUUCUAGGCUGACACACCUUUUUGUCACUCUAAAUGGUAUGAGCUGCUUUAUUGGAACUCCAAGUCUUUUUUU